AAAUGUGAGAGCCAGCUGGCUGUGACAUCUGUCACCCCUGUUACCGUGACCGCAGGACUGAUGUGGUUGAUCCUGCUGGCUAGGCUAGGGUCCCCUUCCUCCCUCAUCACUCCAUGUGUGUCCCUCCUAAAGCUGCGCAACACUACCUGGAAAAGUUUGGCAAGUCCUCAAAUUUAAAAAAAAAAAAUGCG
rnacentral:snRNA from 1 species